rnacentral:rRNA from 1 species
AUACGUAGGGGGCGAGCGUUGUCCGGAAUGAUUGGGCGUAAAGGGCGCGUAGGCGGCCCGGUAAGUCUGGAGUGAAAGUCCUGUUUUUAAGAUGGGAAUUGCUUUGGAUACUGUCGGGCUUGAGUGCAGGAGAGGUAAGUGGAAUUCCCAGUGUAGCGGUGAAAUGCGUAGAGAUUGGGAGGAACACCAGUGGCGAAGGCGACUUACUGGACUGUAACUGACGCUGAGGCGCGCAAGUGUGGGGAGCAAACAGGAUUAGAUACCCUGGUAGUCCACACUGUAAACGAUGAAUGCUAGGUGUAGGGGGUAUCGACCCCUUCUGUGCCGCAGUCAACACAAUAAGCAUUCCGCCUGGGGAGUACGGCCGCAAGGUUGAAACUCAAAGGAAUUGACGGGG